rnacentral:tRNA from 1 species
GCUCUGGGACGGAAGGAUUCGAACCUCCGAAUA